UCGCUGCCAGCUGGAUUGCACAAAGUACGCAGCGCUACUUCCGCGUUUCCGCGCGCAUGCGUGGUAUCGCAUGGAGGACCUAAUACUACAGAGCCUGGCAGCGCAGAGCGGCUUAAAAAGGAGCAACUCGAUUUCCGGGAGAUGCGGUGGGGCGCGCAGAUCUCACACAGCGCUGCGCCAAUGGCGGGGCCGCUGGGAGAUUCCAACCGGUGCGUUCCCGCGGCUCGGUAGGGAGUGCCAAAUGGGAAAGAGUGACGGAUAGGUGGGAGAGAAACAGCGAGAGCUGAAGGAAGGGAGUUAUUGCACUGUGUUGCCAAAUUGUGACAGCCAGCCGUCAUCAGCCAUGAAGUACUUCGGAGUCAAUCCAAAUGUUCUCUCCAAACAUUGUCACGGAAGAAGCAGCAUUUUGUGGAAUCACAGCUUGUACAUUUUUGUCCUUAUACAACUCUGUGAAAUGUGACAGUGCCAAGAAGUUGCAUCUGGUUUAUACCAAGGAAGCUAAAGAGGUGGCUUGAUCACUGCCUUCAAGUACAAGAUUGGCAGGUGGGGUGAUAUGAAAGGGAAUGCUCAGCAGCCCUACCCAGCCACAGCUAGAGGAGUCACAACAGAACAGCUCCAGAAGCCAACUGCUCUAUGGUCUUAUCCACUGAGACGUGCCACAGUCAGCUUGUUCUCCCUCUGCCCCAGAUCUGCUGCAAAUGGAACCAUGUGGAAUGCAGCCUAAAUCCCACUGGAGCAAUUGGGAUGCAGAUGGCAAGGAAAGCUGAAGGGCAUUUGGAUACAUGCUGUCCCAUGGAUGUCUAAAUGGGAGAGAGGGUCUUCUAGAAGCACGUAAAGGACCCUUGAGGAGACAAGCAUUGGGAAAAAACUGUGUCAGAACAUCUGAAAUGCCUCCUUCAUCAUCCCAGCUUUGGGAGCACUUACUUAACCUAUAUCAGCAUGACUCAAAACAACAUCAGUGUUCGUCUCUGGAGUGAAAAGGAAUAAUGUGCUUUGUUCUGCUGCUUCCUAUUCAAAGAGAUGUCACCAUGAUGAAGCCCUUGAUGGAUUCCUGGAUGAGUCCCACAUGGUGGUGAUGGAUUGCUGCUCUGUGCUGCUGCACGCUCCAGCUGUCUCCAUGGUUCAGUCUGCUGGAGUGACAGAGCCCAUAAAUCACUCUGGAAGAGGAAUUGCACUGGGAAGGAGAAGUUGCUGUAGAGGUGAAAGGUUCUGCAACUGACUGACUGGAAAAGGAGGAGAACGAUGUGCAAAAGAACCUGCAGAUAUCCCAGCGGAUUUCAGGUAGGAGAUGG